UGGGGAAUAUUGCACAAUGGGGGGAACCCUGAUGCAGCGACGCCGCGUGAAGGAAGAAGGUAUUCGUAUUGUAAACUUCUGUCGCAGAUGACGAAAAGAUGACGGUAAUCUGCAAGAAAGCGCCGGCUAACUACGUGCCAGCAGCCGCGGUAAAACGUAGGGUGCUAGCGUUGUCCGGAAUUACUGGGUGUAAAGGGAGCGCAGGUGGCAGUGCAAGUUGGAUGUAAAAUCUACGGGCUCAACCCGUAUAAGCAUUCAAAACUGUGCAGCUUGAGUGAAGUAGAGGUAGGUGGAAUUUCCGGUGUAGCGGUGGAAUGCGUAGAUAUCGGAAGGAACAUCAGUGGCGAAGGCGACCUACUGGGCUUUAACUGACGCUGAGGCUCGAAAGCAUGGGUAGCAAACAGGAUUAGAUACCCUGGUAGUCCAUGCUGUAAACGAUGAUUACUAGGUGUGGGGGCGAAAGCUUCCGUGCCGGAGUUAACACAAUAAGUAAUCCACCUGGGGAGUACGACCGCAAGGUUGAAACUCAAAGGAAUUGACGGGGGCCCGCACAAGCAGUGGAGUAUGUGGUUUAAUUCGAAGCAACGCGAAGAACCUUACCAGGUCUUGACAUCGUGCGCAUAGGCAAGAGAUUGCUGAAAUCACUCUUUGAGUGACGUAUAGACAGGUGGUGCAUGGUUGUCGUCAGCUCGUGUCGUGAGAUGUUGGGUUAAGUCCCGCAACGAGCGCAACCCUUAUCAUUAGUUACUACGAAAGAGGACUCUAAUGAGACUGCCGUUGAGAAAACGGAGGAAGGUGGGGAUGACGUCAAAUCAUCAUGCCCCUUAUGACCUGGGCUACACACGUACUACAAUGGCUGUCAACAAAGUGAACCAAAUACGCGAGUAAGAGGGAAACACAAAAAACAGUCACAGUUCGGAUUGUAGGCUGCAACUCGCCUACAUGAAGCCGGAAUUGCUAGUAAUCGCGGAUCAGCAUGCCGCGGUGAAUACGUUCCC
rnacentral:rRNA from 1 species